GAUGAACGCUAGCUACAGGCUUAACACAUGCAAGUCGAGGGACCGGCGCACGGGUGAGUAACACGUAUCCAACCUGCCCUUUACUCGGGGAUAGCCUUUAGAAAGACAGAUUAAUACCCGAUGUAAGGGAUGGGGGUGCGUUCCAUUAGGUUGUUGGUGAGGUAACGGCUCACCAAGCCUUCGAGGGAUAGGGGUUCGGGGAGGAAGGGCCCCCACAUUGGAACUGCGACCCUGCCGACACGACUACGGGAGGCAGCAGUGGUGAAGAUUGGUCAAUGGGGGUUAGCCUGCACAUGCCAAGUAGCGGGAAGGAUGAAGGCGUAUUGGUCUUAAACUGCUUUUACACAAGCAUAUGUAUUAGAUGAAUAAGGACCGGCUAACUCCGUGCCAGCAGCCGCGGUAAUAC
rnacentral:rRNA from 1 species